CAGCUAACGAAGCACGUUUUUGGGGCAUCAAAGGUAGCAGCCACAGCCAGUACUGGGAAACUGGACUUGUUAAGGAACUUGGGAGCAAACUUAGCCAUUGAUUAUAAAGGGGCUGCUUGAAGAUCUAGAAGAAAAAUUUGAUGUAGUGUACGAUACAAUAGGCAGAGUGAGAUUGAUAGAACAUUGAAGGCUGUUAAAGAAAAUGGGAAAGUUGUGAUAGUAGCAGCACAUGGAAGUUCUUCAGAUAUCUUCGUAAUGCUCAUACAGAAUCCCUAAGUUGGCUUGAGCGAUGGAGAAGUCGAGGACAAGUUGGAGAAGUUCAUUGCAGAGGGUCAUUGGAACAACAUGAUCGUUGGGUCUACUAUGAACUUUAU
rnacentral:sRNA from 1 species